rnacentral:rRNA from 1 species
UACGAAGGGUGCAAGCGUUACUCGGAAUUACUGGGCGUAAAGCGUGCGUAGGUGGUUCGUUAAGUCUGCCGUGAAAGCCCCGGGCUCAACCUGGGAAUUGCGGUGGAUACUGGCGGGCUAGAGUGCGGUAGAGGAGAGUGGAAUUCCCGGUGUAGCAGUGAAAUGCGUAGAGAUCGGGAGGAACAUCAGUUGCGAAGGCGGCUCUCUGGACCAGCACUGACACUGAGGCACGAAAGCGUGGGGAG